rnacentral:rRNA from 1 species
CCGAUGACUCGGGGAUAGCCUUUCAAAAGAAAGAUUAAUACCCGAUGGCAUAGUUCUUCCGCAUGGUAGAACUAUUAAAGAAUUUCGGUCAUCGAUGGGGAUGCGUUCCAUUAGGUUGUUGGCGGGGUAACGGCCCACCAAGCCUUCGAUGGAUAGGGGUUCUGAGAGGAAGGUCCCCCACAUUGGAACUGAGACACGGUCCAAACUCCUACGGGAGGCAGCAUG